GACGAACGCUGGCGGCGUGCCUAACACAUGCAAGUCGAACGGAGAUACGAUUUCGGUUGUAUCUUAGUGGCGAACGGGUGAGUAACGCGUGAACAACCUGACUCUUAGAGGGGGAUAACACUCGGAAACGGGUGCUAAUACCACAUAAGACCACGACCCGGCAUCGGGAUGAGGUCAAAGGAGCAAUCCGCUGAGAGAGGGGUUCGCGUCCCAUUAGAUAGAUGGCGGGGUAACGGCCCACCAUGUCGACGAUGGGUAGCCGAGCUGAGAGGCUGAUCGGCCACACUGGAACUGAGACACGGUCCAGACUCCUACGGGAGGCAGCAGUGGGGAAUAUUGGGCAAUGGGCGCAAGCCUGACCCAGCAACGCCGCGUGAGGGGAGAAGGCUUUCGGGUUGUAAACCUCUGUCCUUGGUGACGAAACAAAUGACGGUAGCCAAGGAGGAAGCCCCGGCUAACUACGUGCCAGCCGCCGCUGUAA
rnacentral:rRNA from 1 species